AUUGAACGCUGGCGGCAGGCCUAACACAUGCAAGUCGAGCGGAUGAAGGGAGCUUGCUCCUGGAUUCAGCGGCGGACGGGUGAGUAAUGCCUAGGAAUCUGCCUGGUAGUGGGGGAUAACGUCCGGAAACGGGCGCUAAUACCGCAUACGUCCUGAGGGAGAAAGUGGGGGAUCUUCGGACCUCACGCUAUCAGAUGAGCCCAGGUCGGAUUAGCUAGUUGGUGGGGUAAAGGCCUACCAAGGCGACGAUCCGUAGCUGGUCUGAGAGGAUGAUCAGUCACACUGGAACUGAGACACGGUCCAGACUCCUACGGGAGGCAGCAGUGGGGAAUAUUGGACAAUGGGCGAAAGCCUGAUCCAGCCAUGCCGCGUGUGUGAAGAAGGUCUUCGGAUUGUAAAGCACUUUAAGUUGGGAGGAAGGGCAGUAAGUUAAUACCUUGCUGUUUUGACGUUACCAACAGAAUAAGCACCGGCUAACUUCGUG
rnacentral:rRNA from 1 species